GCGGGCGGGGUCGGAGGACGGGGCUGCGGGGGUGCAGCAUCGGUGUGAUGCGAGGGCAGGCUGGCUUGAGCGCGCCAUCCCGGCCUCGCCUCUGGCACGGGGCGUAGCGGUGCGCUGGUCACCUGUUUGCGAGGCGUUCCGCGGCGCAGGCUCGGAGCAGGUCGGGGAGGGCGUGUGGCCGCCACGCGAGGGCCGGACCCAGUGUCCUCGGCCCCCCGGGCUCCCGUGGUGGGGUAGGCCCGUUUCCCGCCCCGCUGAACGGUGACCGGUACGUGUUUAGGGAUGUCCGGGCGGCCUGCGCGCACGGGUAGUGCCUCGUUGCUGAGCCACCUUUGCAAAAUUCACUCUUGCAACCCUUGCCGGGGCCUUGCUGUUUGGCCUGGUUUUUUUGGUUGUCUCCUAAAUAAGGGGCCGUGUGUGUGUGUGUGUGUGUGUGUGUGUGUGUGUUGAGGGGUGUUUGAAAUACUUAGGUGUGCCCGUGGUGAUUUUUUUUUUUUUUUUUGACAGGCAGUUAGAGAGAGAGACGAGAGAAAGGUCUUCCUUUUUCCGUUUGCUCGCCCCUCAAAUGGCCGCUAGGGCCGGCCGGUGCGCUGCGGCCAGCCAAGUGAGCCGCGGCGCCGGCCUGGUGACUUGUGUGACCUUAAAAAGCUAGGGAGGCAGGGAGCUGUGGCCGCCUUAGAUUUCUAGUGUUGACCUUUGGCUGCCGGUCUUUGGUUUUAUUGGUUUUCUGUGUAACUCUUCACAAGGAUGGUUGCCCUUUGAAAGAUGCUUUCCAAAGCAGUGUGGGGUAGCUUGAGGCAGGAAGGCAUUUCAGUGCAAAGCCUAAUCGGGCUCAGGAUGGGGCUACUUUCUUCAUGUACCCAUGAUUCAUGAGAGACCCGAUUCGGGGAUGGUGUCCUCUGGGGAGUAAGCAUGUUCUGUGUUCACCUAGGAUCUAUGCAUAUAUAUCAGAGGUCUUCCAAUAAGUUCAUGGAAAAGGCCCAUUAUACAUACUUUUUUUUAAAAGUUUUUUCCACCAAAAUGAACUUGUGCUAACUUGUUAUAAUAUUUCCAAUAGGAUCUAGUUUGAUCUAUGAAAGCAAAAUGGAUUCUGUUAAAAUUGAGGCAAGGCAAACAUCAAGUUUAUGGUGAAGCUUGGGUUGCAGAAUGUUGAAAUCAUUGCUGCCUUAGGAGAGUCUAUGGGGAUAGUGCUCUACAGUUACCCAGUUCACAAAUGGGUAACUGGUUUUAAGAAGGGACAAGCGGAUGUUGAAGAUGAAGCGCGCUGCAGCAGAACAUCUACAUCACCGUGCGUGGAAGAAAUGAGUCUUGCCUGUGCCCUGAUUGAAGAGGACUGAUGACUAGCGAGAACAGUGGCCUACCCUAUACACAUCAACGGUUCAGCUUAACGAAAUGCUGAGUGAAAGCUGGAAGUGGAAUCUCCUGUUCUUUGGAAAACUGGCUCAUUUUAAAGUUUACUUUGAUGUGGUGCAUCUCAUAGGCAGAAAGAAAAAGAGAGGUCUGUCUGCCGGUGCACUCACCAAACGCCCAAACAGUUAGGGCUGGGUUAGGUUGAAGCUGGGAUAGAGGAAGUCAGCUGAAGUCUCCCCUGUGGGUGGCAGAGACCCAACUGCUUAAACCAUUGCUACUGCCUCCCAGGGUGUACAUUAGCAGGGAGUCGGGAUUGGAGGCAGAGCCAGCACUCGAACCCAAGCACAGGUGUCCCCAGCAGGGCCGUACCUGGUGUGCCGAAUGCCCCACCUGCCUCUGUGUUCUUAAGCAAGUCCAGUUCUGCUGUGGGCUGAUGACCUUCGCCUCUACGGAUGACUUCCAGGAGGCUGGCAUUCUGCCCCAUGAUAUCUAAGCCUGGAGAUUCUACAGGAAUUUUAAACAUCCGCAGCAGAGUGGACCGCCCCCUCCCAGCACCAGCACCAGCAGCCCUGCUCACUCCUGAGCCUGCCCCACCCGACGCCCUCUCAUCCUCCUGCACCUUCAUCCACGGGGAGCCCCCAUGCUGUUGAUGAUUCCGCUGGCCAGUGGUGUCUGCCAGCUCCUUCCAGAGAGACGCCUGCGGUGUCUCCUGACUUCUCCAAGUGUGGCUUCCACGCCUCUCACUGGGAGACCGUGCUGUGCCCUGGCACCAAUUCCUUCCCACUCCGCCACAACCUCACCCCUGUCCCUCGGAAAGCCCUUGGAUGACUGCUGUUUACAAAGAGUGAGGUCACUUUCUCUUCAUGCCAGACAAGGUCCUUCACAGAACGGCCCCAGCUUGCCCUGCAGCAGGCGCCCAGCAGGCUCCCAUGGGGCCGUAGGGUGGUCCCUGGCAACUCACAGAAGUGCUGGCUCCUCCACUUCAAGCUGCUCAGGGCCGCCGCCCCACUCCGUGACACCCCUCUUCAGAUUCGUCCUUGCUUGUCUCUUCUCAGCUCGACUCUUCUGCUCAGACUGUACCUCUCAACAACAUGAAGCCCAGUACCCAGUAACAACUUGUUUGUCAAUUACCCGUGAGUAUUUCACUUUGCCACAAGGAAGCUACCCAGUGGGAUGCACACACACAAUAGCAGAAUCAAACCAGUGAUAAAGUGAAGCGAAAGGAUGUGAAGGUCAGGCAGGUGCAGGGAGGGCAAGAUGAGGCCCGGGCCAUGCGCACCUCUCUGUGUUUGGGCUGCAGCGUUCAGCUGGAGAAGGUGCCCUCGGGAAGCACCACUCAACUUCAUCAGUAAUAAUUUCUUUUUAAAGAUUUUUAUUUAUUUAUUUGAAAGCCAUAGUUACACAGAGAGAGGAGAGGCAGAGAGAGAGAGAGAGAUCUUCCAUUAGAUGGUUCACUCCCCCAAUUGGCUGCAAUGACCAGAGCUGCGCCGAUCCGAAGCCAGGAGCCAGGAGCCAGGAGCUUCCUCCCUAUCUCCCAUGUGGGUACAGGGGCCCAAGGACCUGGGCCAUCUACCACUGCUAUCCCAGGCCAUAGCAGAGAGCUGGAUCGGAAGUGGAGCAGCCGGGUCUCAAACCGGCACCCAUAUGGUAUGCCGGCACUUCAGGCCAGGUGUUAACCCACUGUGCCACAGCGCUGACCCCCAUCACUAAUAAUUUAAUAAAGAAAGUACAGUAAGUGGUGUCUGCAGCAGUUCCCUUUAAUUACACAAGGGAAGGUGGCCAUGCACAGCCGAGGCUGCUGACAAGACCUGCAGUGGGCUUGCCACGUCCAGGCGUGAUGUGCAUCUGAGCUGGCCAAACCCUGGCCCGGACACUGGGUAAGUAGACUCGGGUUCUUCUCCUACCACCUCCUGGAAGGGGAAACACACACACACACACACACACACACACAAGCAAUUACAACAGCUGCUGGCACCCACGGAUGGGCAACCAGGGUUUCUGGGUGUCAGUUCUCCCCUUCUUUGUAGUAAGAAGCCAAAGUUUAAGCUGGGAAAAGUGCCAUGCACCUAAAUAACUAUCUUCCCUAACUUCCCUUUGCAGCAAAGUGUGGCUUUCCAUGUAGGUUUCCAUGUGGGUUUUCAUUACAAACUCUGCCAUGAUUUCUUACCGUUACUUUUAGUCCUAGACAGUGUUGUUAGAGAUAGGUGUGAAGCCUUUCAUGGUUUGAAACGACUGCUGAAAAUUUUUCCAAGCUUUUCUUUAUAAAUUGCUUUGAGAGUUCUGAAACAAUAAGGUUGUUAUCUAAACAUUUCUGUCAUUUAAAUAAAUCAUGCUUUUCUGUUAAAAGAUAGGUAUUUUGGAACUAUUCCUCUCUUUCCUGUAAAGAAAACACCCCCAUUGGAGACAGAGCCCUUGAGCGAGUCCUGGCCAUUUGUCAUGUUCAUCUUCUGCCGGAGAGUCCCCACGGUAAUUCCCCUUGUCAGGUGCCAAGACACGUCCACAGGCCCACAUAAUGCUGUUCCUGUGGCACGCGCGACCUCACAUGCCUAUCGCCAGCCUUGGCCCCUGACCGUUUUAUUGUCCAGCUUCCGCAUGUCUUUCUGAUAGCUUCAUUUGGACAGGCCCGGGUGCCUCAAAGAGUGGUUCAGAGGGCCAGCCCCGUGGUCUCUGGCUGCAAGCCUCUCUCUGUGUAUUGUUCAGUGGGGAUAAUCAGCUUCCUGUCUUCCUUUAUUUUCUACCCCACAAUUUAUUACUAUUUUUGUUCCCCAACCUUAAAGCCUGGAUUUUUAAAGGAUUUUUCUUUCUUUCAAAAAUCCAUUCCAAUCUUAGUUGCUUUCUGAAGUACGUCACUUUAAGAUUUAUCCAAUCUGCCAGGAGUUUUUUUUUUUUUUAAUUUUAAUACUACAAGUGGAAAAAAAGAAGCCUUCCAUUUAAAUCUUCAUUGUUCACUGUUCUUUGCCCAGUGCAAGUUAACAAUUACUUUGCUCUCACCAUGUAUAGCGUUGGACCAGGUACCAAUAAAAGCCAACUGGAGAAGACAUAAGGUCCACACAUUCACAGAACUGACAGUCUGGUUAGGGACCAGACUCUUUUUUCAUUUAACAAACAUAUGUUAGUACCUAACUUUUUUUCAUCAAGACUGCAAACAGCAACUCUUGCAAGAUUCUGAAAAAAUAGCAGGCAGAUGGAGAAGAGAAAUAAAAGAUUGAGAAAUGACCAGUAUUGGUGAGCUUCUUAAAGUUUUUUUUUCUUUUUAAGAUUUAUUUAUGUAUUUGAAAGUCAAAGAGAGUGAGAGAGGAGAGACAGAGAGAGAGACAGAGAUCUUCCAUCUGCAGGUUCACUCCCCAGAUGGCCGCAAUGGCAGGAGUGGCGCCAACCCAAAGCCAGGAGCCAGGAGCUUCAUCCAUGUGUCCCAUGUGAGUGCAGAAGCCCAAGCACUUGGGCUAUCCUCUACUUCUUUCCCAGGUUUGUUAGCAGGGAGCUGGGUUAGAAGUGGAGCAGCCAGGACGCAAACCAGGGCCCAUAUGGGAUGCCAGCUUUGCAGACGGCAACUUAACCCUCUGCACAACAGCGCCAACCCCAUAAAGUUAUUUCUCUCUCUCUCUUAAAAGAUUUAUUUAUUCACUUGAAAGUCAGAGUUACACAGAGAGAGGAGAGGCAGAAAAAGAGAGGUCUUCCAUCCGCUGGUUCACUCCCCAGAUGGCCACAACAGCUGGAGCUGCUGAUCCGAAGCCAGGAGCCAGGAGCUUCUUACAGGUCUCCCACGCAGAUGCAGGGGCCCAAGAACUUGGGCUGUCUUCUACUGCUUUCCCAGGCUAUAGCAGAGAGCUGGAUAGGAAGUGGAGCAGCCGGGUCUUGAACCGGUGCCCCUGUGGGAUUCUGGUGCUUCGGGCCAGGGCAUUAACCACAUAAGCCACAGUGCCAGCCCCAACCAUAUCUUAUGGGAAAAGUUAAUCAACAAACACCAACUAUGAGACAGCCUAGAUAUUGAAAUUGAAAGGCAAAGUCUUUUAAGCAGCUAUUACAGCCAUGCUUGGAAUAAAUAAAAGGAUAGAAACUGAUUUUUAUUUUAGAUUUAUUUUGAAAGAAUUACAGAGAGAGAGGGAGAGACAGAGAGAGUAGUUCACUCCCACAAUGGCAGCACUGGGCCAGGCUGAAAUCAGGAGCCAGGAGCUUCAUCUGGGUUUCCCACGUGGGUGGCAGGGGCCUAAACACUUAGGCCAGCCUCCAGUUUUUUCCCAGGCCAUUAGCAGGGAGCCGUAUCAGAGGUGGGGCAGCUGAGACAUGAACCAGUGCCCAUAUGGGAUGCUGGAAUCGCAGGUGGUGGCUUUACGACUCCACCACAAUGCUGACCCCUAGAAAUAGGAUUUCAAUAGAGAAAUAGGAAUUACCAAAAAAAAAAAAAGUACUUUAGAAUGGAAAAAUACAUCAUAAUACAAAAAGUAAAAAUCCACUGGAUGGGCUCAAUAGCACCAUGGCAAUGCUGGAGGAAGACACUAAGAAAUGAGCGAAAGAAAUUACCUAACCUGAAGUACAGAGAGAAUCCCGAUUUGGAACAAAAUGAACUGAGCCUUAGGGACCUGUGGGACAAUUACAAAAGGCCUCACAUGUAUGUCACUAGAGUCAGUUAUGUGUGGGAAAAUUAUUUUAAAAAUAAAGGCAUGCUUAAAACUUGCCAAAUUCUAGGAAAACAUGUGCUUUGACGUGUUAUUCCAUUUUCCAUUGCAAUAACACAAUACCCGAGGCCGGGUGACUUAUCAAGAAGAGGCUGAGUAUGCUCCCAGUUUUAGAGGUUGGAAGUCCAAGACCAGGCAACCUCAUCUGCUCGGUCCCUGGUGAGGGCCUGAGGCUGAGGGCAGCCUGGUGGGAGCCAGGGAGGAAGAAGCCAGCUGGUGAGAGGAAGGCUAGACUCGCUGUGUGAUGACACCCACGCCCCUGGGGGCUAACGCAGGCUCACACAAGCACAGCUGUGAUUUCUUGCACAACCAGCGAUCCAACUCCCCACAGGGAGUUAGAUCUGGCUUCCCACGGGGCCCCACCCCUUGGAGGCCUGCCACUUCUCAACAACACCCUGCUGGGGGCCAACCUUCCAACAUGGAGCCUGUAGGGGACAAACCACAGCGAAUCCCAAUCCAGACAGGCCUGAAGAGAACUGUGCCAAGAAACAUCAUCAAACUGCAGAGGGAAGAGAGAAGAGGGGCGGGAGGGGACUCUCAGAUCCAGGGGACCAGAACCUGGAAGGCGUCUCACUGAAACCAUGGUGGCCAGAAGACGUGGACCAGCCGUUAAGCACUGGGAAGAAACGCAGACCUUCCCCCACUCCCCCCACUUCUACACGCAUUCCCCACUUCUACACGCACCAAAAGCUUCCUUCAGAGAUGAAGACUAAAUACCCGUUUGUGUGAAACGGAGCUGAGAGGAUAGGACACCAGCACACCUGUUCUGGAAGAAGGUAGGAACCUGAGAAGGAAGCCAGAACGGGCAGCGUGGUAAUACCUGGACAACUGUCACAGACUACCGUUCUAAACACGUGAGCGAGGGUGGAAGGCGCCCCGGAGUGAAAGCUCUCCGUGCCCGUGGUGCUGUGGCCUAAACGUGGCUCACAAGGAUUCCUGUGCUGAAACUUCACCGCCAAUUUGAUAGCACGAAGGGGUGGGGACUUGAGGAGACGACCUCAUCAUCUCCUAAUGGGGAUGGCAGCCUAAUGGAAGAUGUUCCAGGGAGCUGUUCACCCCUUCUUUUGCGUGAGAACACAGCAAGAGGCACCCAGACACGGAGCCUGCUGGUGCCUUCCAAGGCCUUUGCAACUGUGAGAAACACAUUUCUAUUAUUUGAAAUGAUCUACGCUAAAGCAUUCUGUUAUAGCAGCCAGAGAGAUCAGAAAAUCACUCCAAUAAUGUGACAAUAAAACAUAAAUGGGGUGGGGAGGCUGAAGAGACCGAUAUGGUUUUAGGCUUCUAUGUUUUGCUUAAAAUGGGGAAUUAACUGUAAAUGAACUGUAAAAGAAUAAGUAUGGUGGUAGUUAAAAAAAAAUACAGUAAGAAGUAGCAAAAAAAAAAAAGAUGGAUUAAAAUGGAAUGGUCAGAAAUAUUUAAA